rnacentral:rRNA from 1 species
CCUACGGGUGGCAGCAGUGGGGAAUAUUGCACAAUGGGGGGAACCCUGAUGCAGCAACGCCGCGUGGGUGAAGAAGUACUUCGGUAUGUAAAGCCCUGUCAGCAGGGAAGAAAAUGACGGUACCUGACCACGAAGCCCCGGCUAACUACGUGCCAGCCGCCGCGGUCAUACGUAGGGGGCAAGCGUUAUCCGGAUUUACUGGGUGUAACGGGAGCGUAGACGGCAAGGCAAGUCUGGUGUGAAAGCCCGGGGCUCAACCACGGGACUGCUUUGGAAACUGUGUGGCUGGAGUGCAGGAGGGGUAAGCAGAAUUCCUGGUGUAGCGGUGAAAUGCGUAGAGAUUAGGAGGAACACCGGUGGCGAAGGCGGCUUACUGGACUGUAACUGACGUUGAGGCUCGAAGGCGUGGGGAGCAAACAGGAUUAGAUACCCCAGUAGUC